rnacentral:rRNA from 1 species
CCUACGGGUGGCAGCAGUGAGGAAUAUUGGUCAAUGGACGCAAGUCUGAACCAGCCAUGCCGCGUGCAGGAAGACGGCUCUAUGAGUUGUAAACUGCUUUUGUACGAGGGUAAACGCAGAUACGUGUAUCUUUCUGAGAGUAUCGUACGAAUAAGCAUCGGCUAACUCCGUGCCAGCAGCCGCGGUAAUACGGAGGGUUCGAGCGUUAUCCGGAUUUAUUGGGUUUAAAGGGUGCGUAGGCGGUCGGAUAAGUUAGAGGUGAAAUCCCGAGGCUCAACUUCCGACGUGCCUUUGAUACUGGUCUGCUAGAGUGUAGUAGAGGUAGGCGGAAUGUGUGGUGUAGCGGUGAAAUGCUUAGAGAUCACGCAGAACACCGAUUGCGAAGGCAGCUUACC